AACGAACGCUGGCGGCAGGCCUAACACAUGCAAGUCGAGCGCCCCGCAAGGGGAGCGGCGGACGGGUGAGUAACGCGUGGGAACGUGCCCUUUGCUACGGAAUAGCCCCGGGAAACUGGGAGUAAUACCGUAUAAGCCCUACGGGGGAAAGAUUUAUCGGCAAAGGAUCGGCCCGCGUUGGAUUAGGUAGUUGGUGGGGUAAUGGCCUACCAAGCCGACGAUCCAUAGCUGGUUUGAGAGGAUGAUCAGCCACACUGGGACUGAGACACGGCCCAGACUCCUACGGGAGGCAGCAGUGGGGAAUCUUAGACAAUGGGCGCAAGCCUGAUCUAGCCAUGCCGCGUGAGCGAUGAAGGCCUUAGGGUUGUAAAGCUCUCUCGUGGGGGAAGAUAAUGACUGUACCCCAAGAAGAAGCCCCGGCUAACUCCGUGCCAGCCGCCGCGGUAAAAC
rnacentral:rRNA from 1 species